UACGAAGGGGGCUAGCGUUGCUCGGAAUGACUGGGCGUAAAGGGCGCGUAGGCGGUUCAUACAGUCAGAUGUGAAAUUCCUGGGCUCAACCUGGGGGCUGCAUUUGAUACGUGUGGACUAGAGUGGGGAAGAGGGUCGUGGAAUUCCCAGUGUAGAGGUGAAAUUCGUAGAUAUUGGGAAGAACACCAGUGGCGAAGGCGGCGACCUGGACGGACACUGACGCUGAGACGCGAAAGCGUGGGGAGCAAACAGG
rnacentral:rRNA from 1 species